CCUACGGGUGGCAGCAGUGAGGAAUAUUGGUCAAUGGGCGGAAGCCUGAACCAGCCCAGUAGCGUGCAGGAUGACGGCCCUACGGGUUGUAAACUGCUUUUAUACGGGAAUAACGCGCCUUCCGUGUAGGGCUUUGCAUGUACCGUAUGAAUAAGGACCGGCUAAUUCCGUGGCAGCAGCCGCGGUAAUACGGACGGUCCGGUCGUUAUCCGGGUUUGUUGGGUUUAAAGGUAGCGUAGGCCUCAUGUCAAGGGUGCUGUGAAAUGUCCGGGCUCAACCCGGGCCUUGCAGCGAGAACUGGCGUGCUUGAGUCCGCGGAAAGCAGGCGGAAUUCGUCGUGUAGCGGUGAAAUGCUUAGAUAUGACGAAGAACCCCGAUUGCGAAGGCAGCUUGCUGCAGCGGAACUGACGCUGAUGCUCGAAAGCGCGGGUAUCGAACAGGAUUAGAUACCCCAGUAGUC
rnacentral:rRNA from 1 species